AUGUAUUUGAGUUUUAAAUAACCGUGAUGUCUAUUCCUUGAUGUAAUUGUUUCGGUAGCAACCCCACGAAUCGUAACCUCGAAAAGGGCAAAGGUAAAGAAUACGGACACCACCCCGUUCUCGGCGUUUAGGGUUAGGGUUACGCCGAAAACGGGUGGCAUGCGUAUUCUUUACCUCCGCCCCCGAAACCUACCCGCAAUUAUUAUUAUUUUUUAAGUUAACCCUUUGUCUUUCCCGUGUUUCACGUAUGAUGAACAGGACGUGUUUCCCUGGCAUCCAUUCAUAUACGAUAUACAUUCUCAAUUUGUGUCAACCACCGGAAAAACUUGGGGCUUAUGAAAGGAGAGCUUCAUAGAACCCAGAACGUAAGAGACAAGAGCUAACUAAAUGUCUGUAAACAAAUAUGGGCAUUUGUUAUGACAAAUGUUCUGACGAGUUGUCAAAAUUGUCUAAGACAGAUCGCAAAUUUCAUUUUAGAAUCUGAAAUGGCUAAAGGACAUCUUGGAAUUAGACAGAAAUGGGAUGAAACAUUCCAGAAAAUUAAAAAGUAUGUUUAAAUCUAGAUAUCAAAAUUUCGGCCAUCAUCUCAGAAACUGUAGGAACAAGAAUAUGCUAGCAGUGACGGCAAACCGAAUCUACCUUCUACUACAGCGUGAGCCAGCAAGCGGUCGUCUACGUGGUUGUGCGAUCAAGCUAGAAAUAGCAGCCAAAUUUCCCUCAAAUUACUCCUAUCGUCUUCAGAGCUUAUGUUCCAGUGUAGUUCUAGGUAUACAAGUAGGCGGAAUGGUCAUGACUGGAAGGCCUUUAUUUCAUAAAUCUGCUCGUUCAGACAGACAGACAGACAAACAGACAGAAAGAUAGACAGACGGACAGAAGAACAGACGGACAGAAGAACAGACGGACAGAAGAACAGACGGACAGACGAGCAGACAGACAAACAGACAGAGAGAGAGAGAGAUUGGUAGAUGGAUGGACAGACAGACAGAUAGAUAGAUAGAUCACAACUGUCAGCUGAAUCAGUAAUGUAAAAAUGAGAGUGUUUUUUUAAGUAUAAGAAAAAUAAAUGACAAGCU